UGAACGCUGGCGGCGUGCCUAAUACAUGCAAGUCGAGCGAACGGACGAGAAGCUUGCUUCUCUGAUGUUAGCGGCGGACGGGUGAGUAACACGUGGAUAACCUACCUAUAAGACUAGGAUAACUUCGGGAAACCGUAGCUAAUACCGGAUAAUAUUUUGAACCGCAUGGUUCAAAAGUGAAAGACGGUCUUGCUGUCACUUAUAGAUGGAUCCGCGCUGCAUUAGCUAGUUGGUAAGGUAACGGCUUACCAAGGCAACGAUGCAUAGCCGACCUGAGAGGGUGAUCGGCCACACUGGAACUGAGACACGGUCCAGACUCCUACGGGAGGCAGCAGUAGGGAAUCUUCCGCAAUGGGCGAAAGCCUGACGGAGCAACGCCGCGUGAGUGAUGAAGGUCUUCGGAUCGUAAAACUCUGUUAUUAGGGAAGAACAUAUGUGUAAGUAACUGUGCACAUCUUGACGGUACCUAAUCAGAAAGCCACGGCUAACUACGUG
rnacentral:rRNA from 1 species